CUUUUUCAGAAAAAGAGAAAUUGCUGCUCCUCUGCUAGGGUUUUGAAACCCAUCCCCUUACCGUCGCCAGUCCGCUACUCCUCCGCCAUAGCUCCGCCACAGACGGCGAUUUGAGCCGACGAGGAGUCCACCGACCACUAGGUACGGGUACGGAGGCGCGGACGUGGCACGUACGUGGGGAGAGGCGUGCUCAUAUGGAGGUGUGCGUGGCUGGGGAGAACGGCGCUGGAAGCUGCUAGGGUUUCAACUUCUGAUUUUGCGUUGGGCCGCUUCGUGGUUGGGCUAGGGUCUAGGCAAAUUGGGUUUAGAUUUUAAUUGGCCUUAGUGGGUUAGCAUUUAAGCAUUUGGGCCACUGUAUUGGGUUGAUUUUGGACUGUGGACAUUUAUUAUUAUUUAUUCGAUUUUUUAAUUUUUGAACUGUAUGUGGGCCGGGCAAAUUUGGGCGAUUACAAAGGUAUCUAUACAGGUCUACAACAUAGUUGAAAAUGUAAUUUCAUUUCUUUAAUGUUAAAUAAUUUAAUUUGUAUA